rnacentral:tRNA from 1 species
GGACAUAGUUCAAUGGUAGAAUGUCGGUCUCCAAAACCGCUGAUGUGGGUUCAACUCCUACUGUCCC